AUGUUCCAAGUAUUAAGUCGUGUGGAAUACCUUUCACAUACAGAAGCUCUGUGCAGCACGAGUAUAACCUCGAGCAGGUGAGGCAAGCAGCAGCUCUAAAAAUUUGUCUUCCAGGUCCUGCCGGGUGGGCUGUACACUCAGACAUACAAAGUCAGCUUCCAAAGUCCUUGAGGUCAAGAAUUUCCAUAAAGACCAUGCAAGACCUGCAAGAGGAGGAGGUUGGCAGCUUAGUGCAAGCCAAACAACAGCUCAUCAGUGUUAUUCGUGUAAAGGUCUGAACCCGAUGAGCCAGGGUCACAACCUUUAAAAAUUCUUAUCGUCGGAAAACAGAGCUGCGGCAAAUCCUCUUUCAUCGACUCCAUCGCCGCUGCACUGUCUGAGGAUCGGUGGGUGGAACACGCCAUUGUCGGGUCUCAGGACCACGCCCGACAAGUCACCAACUUUAUUUCUCAAUACAACAAGUGCUGUAACGGCGUCGACCUCAGUACAGAGACACUUCAGCUCCCGACACUCAUUGACGUGCCAGGGCUGCUGGACACAGAACCUGCUGAACAGGUGGAGAAGUUUCUUCGUCUUCUCAUGUACGGACAUAUACAGAACCAGGAGUCCGCCCUCAGUGUGUACGAAAACUGCAACAGGGACUGGGACGAUCUUCUGACGACCUACAGCACAGCAUACGACGACAUGAAGGUGGACCGCGUGGUCUUUGUGGCGUCAGCAGUGGACGACCUGCCUGGACGUCUGAUGGACUGCGUCUUGAACGCCGCCAGACCGCGCAGGGGGGCACCGGGCUACAGGCGCCAAAUUCCUGUCUAUGGAGUGAUCACAAAGAUGGAUCAAAUAAACGACGAAAACAGACAGAAGUUUGAGGAGAGGAAAAUGAGUUGAAGAGAGGCCUUGGUCUGAACGACGUCCGUCUGCUGUGCUGCAGCAACUACUGCGACGACACCGACCCUGACGGGGUACGAAGGGAGAGUCUGAUUCCGGACCUUGAUGUUCCUAUCCUCCGUUUCCUACAGGAGGUUUGUGACCGCAGCAUACAAAUCGUCAACUCAGAUGAUGCUCUCCGCUCCACUUUGAAGAGUUGGAUGCAAGGAUUCUUUCAAAGACACAAGCAGGAGUGUCUGGCAGUGAUUGUGGCCCUUUAUGGAGCUCUUCAAGUCUUCUUACUUGUCUUCGUGGGCCAGUCUUUUAUUAAGACUCCCGAUCCCAUGUCCGACGCCAAGUUAAAGGCCCUCGGAGAUUCGUGUUAUGAGCAAUGCCUUGCCUCUGGAACUGAAGGUGUAACUUUUCAUCUUGCAGCAAUGCUUGCUGUCCCAACUUUCUUCAUUCUUGUAUUCUGUCUCCUCUUCUCUCCUCCCAGUCUAUUUCAAAAGCUUCUGGGAGGAGACAGGCGUAAAUAAACAACUUCGAGAACCACAAAACCGAAAAAUCACAGAAGACUUUUGAGAAUUUCUUAAGUACAGUCUGGGUUUUUUUAAUUGUAUGGGUAGGCGAUACCCAACAGGUAUAAGACAAAAUACUUUUCAAUACACUAAUCAUUCCAUGUUGACCCUAAAUUUUCCCUUUUCUACUGAUGUUUGCUAUAUCAAUGUCUAUAUAUAUAUAUAUGUGUGUGUAUUCCAUCUACACAUUUUACUGCUAAUCUUUAAACAUGCAGGUUUGUGUACAUAUAAUUGCAUUCAUUGUACACAUAUACUUACACACUAACAUAUAUUUGAGGAUGAUGAUAAAAGCUCAAGAAAAUUUCUAGACACUUAUAUUCUUAAUUAUUACCAAAGGAUUAUAAAUGUUACAUAAAUGUUGUAAAUGACACUGACCAGGAUAAGAUGGCACCUAAGCAUCUCUCCUCGCAAAAAAGAGAUUCCGCUUUAAACGGUUUUUAUUCCUUGAACUAACGGUAUACUGAAAACUGAUUUUCUUCAUUGCUUUCUUAACUUGCACGCACAACCCGACACUUUUUUCCUUGGCAAACCAAGCUAUUAUUAUGUUCAUAGGAGGAAGAUCAUUAAUAUUGUCGCUGGUACACUUGUCUUAUUUGACCUGCUGUUGAUGUAGGAGGAGAGUCGUUGAUCUGUUAUGUGGCGGGAUUUUUUUUGGUGUAGUUAAUUCGUUCCUCCAGCUACUGUUCAUUGCUCCUCCACGAGGCUUGCAAAUCCGCAGUGGGGCAUGUUGUAGGGUAACCCUAUGUUUCACUGUUUAUAUUGUACAUUAAGGUUUUUGUUUCAGCUUAUGCUUUUUUAUCUAUCGGUAGUUUACCAUGGGAAAAUGCUUCUCUUCAAUCAUAAUACCUUAACGCUGUAGCUAUGCUUAUUUAUAAUUUUUAAUAUCAAUAUUAUUAUUAGAUAUUUUAUAAUACAUUUUAUUUUUAUUCUCUCCUUAAAGAUUUCCUAACAGUAGGCGCAGAGCGCUUUGGAAAAACAAUGUGUAUUCUUUAUACUUUUUGUAUAAAAGUACACAAAGUGACAAACACAAAGGGCACACCUCAUACACACCAACAGAGAAAACAAACAACAAACAACAACAACAAACUCUGAAAUGCGUAACUGCAUGUGAUCUGUCCUCAUGUUCCCAAACCACAGGUGACUGUACAUUCUCUGAUUAUUUGUGUGAUACAAAGAGUACACAGUGGAAAACAGGGAACAGGUGUGGGGAUACUUUCUUUUUGGCUAAAGAAAUGUUUUGCUUGAGUUUUAAAGGAAAAAGAGAGAUCUGAGUUUAUAUCUCAUUAAAAUAAUUUUUUCAAAGGCACUCAGAAAUCACACGUGUGUUCCGCGAGUACUAUUGUCGACGAUCUGAUGCUAAUAUGUUUUUCUAGCCGGCAAAGGUGGCAGCACUUGUGAAAGCUAGUUCGCAGAAUGGAGUCCUUAUGGAUGCCAUCUUGUGAGAAAAAGAAUUAAUUCGGACAAAAGUUAUUACUGAAGACUAUCAUUCUUUUAAACACCGGUGUUUCAGAUUAAGAGACGAUUAGAAUUUACUAGUCAUGAUUGUAGUGAAAGAACAUUUAUUGCACUCGGUGUCUUGACAAAUAUUUGGAUCCUAUAAACUCAUGCUGCCACCCUCGUCUGUCGCCGAGAUGAAGGUUGUGAGAUAAAAAAUCCGUGGUUUAUUGUAUCAUGUAAAAUAUGUAAUACUUUGCUACAUUGCUAUUUCGGCGCUUACUUUCCUUUUAAUAUCUGAUUAAUUGUCAGUGGCGAUCAAAUAAAGGGACUUACAACUUUUAAA